rnacentral:tRNA from 1 species
GUGGAUGCGGCUAAGUGGUAGAGUGUUUGCCUGGCAGGCAGAAGUCCCUGGGUUCCAUUCUCAGCACCCGCA